rnacentral:rRNA from 1 species
GCCUACGGGAGGCAGCAGUGAGGAAUAUUGGUCAAUGGGCGAGAGCCUGAACCAGCCAAGUCGCGUGAGGGAAGACGGUCCUAUGGACUGUAAACCUCUUUUGCCGGGGAGCAAAAAGCGGUACGUGUACCGCAUCGAGAGUACCCGGAGAAAAAGCAUCGGCUAACUCCGUGCCAGCAGCCGCGGUAAUACGGAGGAUGCGAGCGUUAUCCGGAUUUAUUGGGUUUAAAGGGUGCGUAGGCGGACUGUUAAGUCAGCGGUAAAAGCCCGGGGCUCAACCCCGGCGAGCCGUUGAAACUGGCUGU